CGGGCUGGCCGGGCGACCGCGUCGUACCUCUCGAGGUGCGCCGAGGAAGGUCCGGGCUCCACAGGGCAAGGUGGUGGGUAACACCCACCCGGGGCAACCUGCGGGACAGUGCCACAGAGAACAGACCGCCACGACCGGCUCCGGCCGGACGGGGCAAGGGUGAAACGGUGGAGUAAGAGCCCACCAGCGUCCGGGGUGACCCGGACGGCUAGGCAAACCCCACCUGGAGCAAGGUCAAGAAGCCACCACUCGUGGUGGCGCGUGUGCGUUCGAGGGCUGCUCGCCCGAGUACACGGGUAGGCCGCUGGAGCCCAUCGGCAACGGUGGGCGUAGAUGGAUGGUCGCCCCCCGGUCCGAGAGGUCCGGGGACAGAACCCGGCCUACAGGCCAGCCCGUUCG
rfam:Nocardioides dokdonensis FR1436, complete genome.